GAGCGGCGAACGGGUGAGUAACACGUGAGUAACCUGCCCCUGACUCUGGGAUAAGCCCGGGAAACUGGGUCUAAUACCGGAUACGACACCUCCUGGCAUCGGGUGGGUGUGGAAAGUUUUUCGGUCGGGGAUGGACUCGCGGCCUAUCAGCUUGUUGGUGGGGUAACGGCCUACCAAGGCGACGACGGGUAGCCGGCCUGAGAGGGCGACCGGCCACACUGGGACUGAGACACGGCCCAGACUCCUACGGGAGGCAGCAGUGGGGAAUAUUGCGCAAUGGGCGAAAGCCUGACGCAGCGACGCCGCGUGGGGGAUGACGGCCUUCGGGUUGUAAACCUCUUUCAGCAGGGACGAAGGUGACGUGUACCUGCAGAAGAAGCGCCGGCUAACUACGUGCCAGCAGCCGCGGUAAUACGUAGGGCGCAAGCGUUGUCCGGAAUUAUUGGGCGUAAAGAGCUCGUAGGUGGCUUGUCACGUCGGGUGUGAAAGCUUGGGGCUUAACUCCAGGUCUGCAUUCGAUACGGGCUGGCUAGAGGUAGGUAGGGGAGAACGGAAUUCCU
rnacentral:rRNA from 1 species